ensembl:lncRNA
CAAAAUGGCUUGCUUUUCUCCCAUAGACAGCUCUCUGAUCUUCAUAUAGGCUUAUCUUGUUUAACAACAAAUGCAGUCUUCACAGGUGAAACUGAAGGCCAAAACCAAGGGUAGAUGUUCAGAGCUAUUUGUUUAAACAGUCAGUCUAACAGGACACACCUGUGUAAAAAGAAACACCAUGUUCCAAUAUUUUUGCUAGUCUACAAAUUGAGUGGACUGAUGCAAAAUGUGCUUAUGUUCUAUGUUGUUUAACACAUCUACAUACACAUACCAGGAAAUAAAAGCUGAAAUUCUAAACUCUCUUCUCACAUACAUCUUUUGUUCUCAAACCCAAAUGUCUUCAGUCUACAGUAAAAGCAAAUGAAUUGGCUUUGCCCUUCCAAUAGCUUGGGAGGGGACUGUAUAUAAAAUAUUGCUGUCUAUUUAUCUAUUUGUACAAUAUUUUGCAGUAGAAUUUCAACUUUAGGCCUCAGUCAUUUUCCACUGAGCAUUCGUUGUCUACCCAUUUACUCUGUACAGUUGUACAUGCUAAUUUAUAGCCCUCUAUUUUACUGCUAAUGGAGACCCCAAUCCAAAGUCGGCAAACAAGUAUGAGGAAGUCAUCUCUGAUUUAAUACUGUUCUCUUUCCUUUUUAGACCCAGUGCUAAAGGAACAGUCUCUUACCAAUGCGAAUAACACUGUAGGAUCAGAAGGAUGUAAUGCAGCUCGGUGAACAGGUAUCUCAUUACCUUUUAAUAUCAGUGUUUUAAUUGGGCGGUUGUGUACAAAACAAAUGGAAUGUAAGCAGUGUUCCUCUUAGCUCAGUGUGUAUUUGAUCAUCCGUGACACAUUUGUUGUUGUUUGCUUCUUUAGUUUUACACUGUAGCCAGGUCUCACAACAAAUCUAUUUUUUUAUUUUUUUAAAUACAGCAUUAAAAUCGUGCAUCAUUGUUAAUAAUUAAAUUUUUUAGAUCAACAAAUUUCAUAAAAUAGCUGCAGCAGUGUGUAUUUACAAAUUUAACUUAAAUGUGGAACUCCAGUAUGUAUAUUAUGUAAAGGAUAAUCCACGGCUAGGUGUGCAUUACACGACUUGGAGGUAAAGAACUUGUCCACCCGAGGCGAAGUAGAAGGUGGUUUCCUUCGCGGAGUGCGUUAAAAUCGUCUAAUGCACUCCUAGCCGUGGUUUAUCCCGCUUAUACCAUGGUCACUUGCCAGCGUUGACGAGUUAAAGCUGUCAUUGAUGUUUGUAGUGCAAAAUUUGACUGAAAGGAUGAAAAUAUCAAUAAUUUUUGUUAGUUAUUUUAUAUACGGGUCGUUAGAGCUUGAAUUCUGCCCGCUCUAAAUCAUACACAGAGAUAAAGUAGUGCCAUAAGAUUAUAUUCAUUUGGAUGAAUUAUAAUAAAUGGUUAUGAGAGAGGGAGAGAUUGAGUGUGAAUUACCUGGGUCUGUGCUGCAUGUCUACUAAUAUUGAAGCUGUGUGUUUACUGUAUGUGACUGUAACUGUAUGUUACUAUGGUUACAGUUGUUUAUAGGUAGCGCAUUAAUGUAGAACGUGAUUAAACUGACUGGAACUACCUGUGCAUUCAGCGUUUAAAUGCACACCUUCCAGCCAAUCAGAAUCGAAUAUUCAGACAGACCAUGGUAUAAUCCCUAUUAUUUUAGGUUCCGCUUCCCAUGGUAUAACCCUGGAAUUCUGACAGACAUUGGGAUGCUUUGAUAUGCAAUAAUGGUUUAUUUACACUUUAAUUUGUUAGUAUUAUAGCCAUUGAGCAUGUCCUGGAUGAUGGUUUUGACUAUAUGAAAAAUUAUGUAAAUGUGAUUUUCCAUAGAGCUCCUAAAUCUCCUUUCAUGUGGAGUUAGAUGUAAAAGCACAGUGUUUGAUCUGUUUGUCUUGUUCAUCUUGGAAUUGUUCAUUUUUUUUUAAUGUAUGUUUCAUUUAUUUUGCCUUUCAGACUUUCAGAAAGCUGAAAAUAACUUUAUACCUCAGUUUACCCUUCGUGGCAGAAAUCUCUCAAUGUGUACAGUUGAAGAUGGGCAAAAGCAGUAUUGACCAGUUUACACCUUUCUCACACACACACACACACACACACACACACACACACACACACACACACACACACACACACACACACUCACUGUCGUCCUUCUCAGUAUCCGUGAAGGUUGGUCUGUCCCCUGUACCUCCAUAGGCGCUGAAGCCAUUUUAGUUUGGAGAUCAUGAAGAUGCCUCCUGUUUUAUUGAUAGGUGAGGAGUUGUUAGAGGAAUAAGGCCAGUCUCUGCCCCCUCGUACCGUGACCCUGCCUUUGUUUACCUUGCCGUGAAGAGUGAAGCACAGAUAAUACCCUGCCCUCACUGUUCUCCUCACUGGUCUGUCUGUGUGUUCAGUAUUCAGACCCCAGUGUGGUGUCUUAUGCACCACCACACAGAAGAAGUGGCAUAUUGGACCUCAUUUCUCUCUGCUCUAGGUAGAAAAGUAUUAAUGACAAUAAAUGACUUUUAUUUAACCUGGUGUGUUGAGUGAGUUUUAAUUGUUUAUUCUUUAUGAGGAUUGGAUGGAC